UUCGCCUGGUAAAAUAAGACAUUCUUUACUUUACUUUUACUUUUAAAACUGUUUAUUUUAUUUUCUGUACUGAAACAUGUGUUGUUUUACAGGAAAUGUAUGAAUUUCUACCUCGGCAAAGAAAACUUAAACAUAUUUUACAAGCAAGAAAUAUGAAUGAAAUAAAUGUUAUUCAUGAGGAACUUGUACCUGAAAUAUUGAAGACAUCAUCUGAUUUAGAAAACAGUAGACUGGUGGAAUCCAACUAUCAACAGAUACCUAGUAUGAUAGACUCAGUAAAUGUAAUAUCACAACAAGAAAGGUAUGAAAUUGCAUUAUCAAAAACUCAAAGGCUGGCAAACCUACUAUCAGAGGCACCAUCAGAAACUUUCUUUCAGCGUCUAGUGAACUUGGAAACAUUAAUAUACAAUUGGGAGAAUAAUGAAGAAGUGAGUGUUAUUUCACUUAACUCAAAGAAUAAUUGUUCCCAAGAUUUCAUUGAAAUAGAUAAUAAUUAUGUUUUAAUUACAGUAAACGAAUCUGUUGUAUCUGAAUUACAACCUUUUUUUCAAACAAAAUUGAGUUCAGGUUCAGUAGAAAACUACAAAGAAGUGCCAACCUUGCUAGAAGACCAUAAUUAUUUUCAGUUAACCAGUAAAUAAGAAACCAAAAUAAAAAUUUUACAAGAAUCAAAAGCGGUGCAAAAUAUAUUUGAAACAGUGACUAUGAUACAAAUAUUGAAUACGUCUAUAUUCACUAAAAAGCAAAGACGAUAAAGAUAAAACCGUUUUAAAUUUCUUUAGUUAAUAAAUAAUUUUAUGUGCAGUGUUGGAUGAUAAAACAGUAUACCCAGAUGAAUUCAGACAUAAUCUCAAAUGCUGCCUGCCUUUAUACUCAUAAAAACAGAGUAUAUGUAGAAUGAAUCAAGAUUAAUUGUAUUGAGUAUGAAUAGACUUCUGUUCAAGACAGUAAUCCGACAAUUUUCUGCUAUAAUGUUAAAUGGAAGCUAACAUCAGUCAUAGUAUUUUAAUAGUCUUCAGUUCGCUGUCCAUUUUUCAUUUAAAUUCAUUUCAAAUUUUUCUGACUGCACAAAUGUGAAAGAAUAUUUUGUUCUGCAGAUCAAUGAGAUUAAAUUGACUUCAGCCAUCACGCCAAUGCCUAUGUACAUGCUUUAUCUAUGCAUUCCAAAACUGGUAGUUAUCAAGCAUGGUCCAGAGAUGAACUAUGCUGUAUCUUGAAUAAGAAAGACCAAUGAAUUGAAUGAAGACCAGUUUAAAGUUAUACUUAUCAGUUAUAGCAUUGUGGUUUUUUAAAAUCCAGACCUAAAUUAUAACUUUUAAUGGUUUAUGUGAAGGAAUAAUGUUUUGAAAUAUUAAAAUUUGGCUUUAAUGUGUA